rnacentral:rRNA from 1 species
UACGGGGGGAGCAAGCGUUGUUCGGAUUUACUGGGCGUAAAGGGCGCGUAGGCGGCCUCCGCAAGUCAGUUGUGAAAUCUCCGGGCUUAACUCGGAAAGGUCAGCCGAUACUGCGGGGCUAGAGUGCAGAAGGGGCAACUGGAAUUCUCGGUGUAGCGGUGAAAUGCGUAGAUAUCGGGAGGAACACCAGUGGCGAAGGCGACUACCUGGCCUGUUUCUUGACGCUGAGGCGCGAAAGCUAGGGGAGCAAACGGG